UUUUUAGAUAGUUUUCGGUUUUAUUUUCCAAACAAAAUUGAAUCAAGGCUUAUUUGAACAAAUAUAUUUUUAAACCAAACUAUAUUCUAAACUCUUGGAAAAAUUGUUUUUUUAGGCCAAAAAAUGAUAAUAUGUCCUAUUAGGCUAAUUUCUUUUUUUUUACCACUUUUUCCUCUGAUACCAUUUAGUAUUUUCCAAAAUAAAUCAAAUAAAUAGUUUUACAAACAAAAAAAAAAAUCAAAAAUAGUAACUAUUGAUGAAAACCUAUAUCAACUUAUUGGUAUUUUUUCCAGUUCUAAAAAUGUUUAAAUCAUAAUUUUAUAUUUUGUUCUACAAAAAGUAGAAUUGACAUUCUACGCAGUUGAAAAUGUAAUCCACUUUUUUCAUUGAAUCUAUAAUAUGUUUAGAAGACGUGAUCUACGUAAAUAAUAGUAAUCUAAAAAUAUUUAGAAAAUACAUUUUACGCUUAACCUAUCGUUCUAAAAUCUGUAGAAUCCGGAAUCUACAGAUUAUUAUAAAUCUAAAACCUAUAGAAAUUAGAAUCUACACAUUACUAUAAAUCUAAAAUUAGUAGAAACCAAUUUCAAACAUGUUUAUUGUGUUCUACAUAUAAGAAAGUAUAAUACAUAUUCUACGGAUAAGGAUAACCAGUUCCAAAAAUAUGGUUGGAGAAUAUUUGGAAAUAUUCAGUUUCCUUAUAUUUAUUAAAUCGAUUUAAAAAAAAAUUGUGAUUUAUAGAAUCAAUUUUUAAAUUAAAAAAAUUAAAACAUCAAUUUGGAAACUUCUUCUCACGCCAUCUUCUUAUCCCCUUUGUUCUUCAAGGAGAAGAGAAAAAUGGGUUUGAUUGAUCAGAAAUCGAGUUUUAAGUGUUCAGCUCAUGUUUGUUUGGUUCAAAUCAAGUGGGAAUAACCAGAUUUAACCGACGAAAACUAAGAAAUCGAUUUGGAAAACUACCCUGGGCACGUGAUCGAUUGAUCCCAAAGACGUGACCGAUCGACGAAGUGGGAUCGAGCUUCAGCAAUUGACUGACCUGGGCUUGGUCGAUCAAUAUCCGCUCCGCAUAUUUUUGUUGUUCUGGAUAUAUUUAUCAGUAUCGACAGGCUCAGAUCGAACACUUGCUUACGGGAUCGAACUAUCCUUUUGAGAAAAAAAAACUUUGAACUUUAGGUUUUUUUUUGGGGAUUUUUUUUAAUUAUUUUAGUUAAAAAUUAUAUUUUAAUAUUUAACAAUUGUUUUAUUAAUUGUAAUUUCGAAUUUUUAACUGAUAUUGAGGACAAUAUUGCCAUUUUGAAAAUAUUUAGACUAAUAGGCCAUAAAUAUAUGAGAUUAACAUAAUAUGACAUAGUUAUCAUUUUUUGCCCUAAAAAACAAUUUUCCCUAAACUCUUUUACUCAGAACUAGCCAAACAACAACAAAUAUUAACUGAAUCAAAGGGAAUAUUCUAAUGUCUCUACUGUGUGACUAGUGAUUAGUGAAUAUGCCUGACACUUUGUUACUAAUAUUUUUAAAAAGAUUUUGACAUUUUUAAUCUAAAGGUCUUUCACUGAUUAGGGCUGGUUAAUUGGUCAUUUUCCGUCGUUGGUUCUCGAACUCGUAUACUUUGAAAGAAUCUCUCAUUAAAGGUGGCUAGCUAGUACUAGUUAAGCUAUCAACACAUGAAAAUAUGAAACAUAUGCUAGGUUCCUAAUUUCUUUUCGAAACUGUGUUUGUUGUUCAGCUUUCCUAAUUUUAAAACAAAAAGUAAACGCUAACCUACGUUAUGUAAAAUGGGCUCUCAUUGUUCCAUGAUCCAUAUAUAUAUAUAUGCGGAUUGACGUUAAGAAACUCAUACUAUACAUAAGCAAAACGAAAAUGAAUAAAGCUGUGGUUUGGUUGAUAACUAUGCUGUAUCUAAUGUUCUUCGCAAUAUCAAACACAGCUUUUGCCCUGAAUCCAAACGUAUCUCCAAAGACAAAUAUAGGAGAAGGGGUUCAAAAGCUGAUGAAAGGGAGAAAGAUUGGCGUAGGAGGCAGCGAGUCAAAGCGGGGGAAAGGAAACGAUGAUCCACCAUAGUCAGUAGACACAUAUUGCUUCAACAUGUGGCUUAUGAUAGAUUCAACAAUGUUAUCUCUUCCUUUAUUUUCUAUUUCUCUAUAUGGAAUUGUGAUUUGGAUU